GCAGCUCGUUCCCGCUUCGCUGUCUGGUCGCCUCUCGGUGUGAGGACGGAGAGAAGCUCCAGAGAUUCACGGUGUAAUAUCACUGACAAUGCGCUUUGAUAAGAGUGAUAUUAAAGUGGGAAAACACAGUGAGUUGCAGUCGCUGCUAUUUAAAGUUACAUGACGUGUUUUUAGAUUAUCGAAGUUUUCGGCUAUGCUAACAGCCUCGCUAGCGCUAAGCUAACAUUUGUGGGUUAGGAUUUCAUUAGCUGUGGUGCUAACCUUCAGCUAGCUCCAGGAUCAGCCCCAACAAUGGACGACAGGAAACAAGAUGGACUAGGUGACCAGGAAAAUAAAAUCUGUACCUCGACCAGGGAGGAGAGACUUUCCUCAACAACUGUCAAUGAACGUGUGUGAGGAGCCUUCCCGUUGAUAAAGGACUGAGGUAAACCAGACUCCUGGGCUAAAUGGGGGAGAUGAUUAAACGGAACAAACCAACUGGAGGAAUGACAUUCCCAAGAGUAAUCUUUUGGAGCCCAAAUCUCCAUUUUGACCAUCCCCAUCAACGUCGGUCUGUUAGUCCACCACUUUGGUGCAGACUGAAGUAUCUCAACACAGUCUCAAAACACAAUAAUCUUUGCUCUCAGUUUUUUCGUUUUUCUCCCUGCCUGGCUGUUUAGACAGACUCCCUAAACCACACGCCCGGCAGCACACUGAAUUGUGAAUCCAAACAGCCGGAGCAGCAGC